rnacentral:rRNA from 1 species
GGGUCGGUCCAUUGGUCGGGCUAUACGGUCCGUACUGGUGAGAUGGGUUCCUACCUUCUGAAUAACCGGCAUGCCAUUCAGUUGGUGCGCCGGGGAAGCAGAGCUAUUACCUUGAAAAAAUUAGAGUGCUUAAAGCAGGCUAUUGCUUGAAUAGAUUAGCAUGGAAUAAUAAAAUAGGACGGCAUGGUUCUAUUUUGUUGGUUUCUAGGAUCACCGUA